UACAUGUGGGGCAAGCGUUGUUCGGCAUUACUGGGCAUAAAGGGUGCGUAGGCGGCUUGUUAAGUCAGGGGUGAAAUCCCACGGCCCAACCGUGGAACUGCCUUUGAUACUGGCGAGCUUGAGUGCGUGAGGGGUAACCGGAACGAGUAGUGUAGCGGUGAAAUGCGUAGAUAUUACUCGGAAGGCCAAAGGCGAAGGCAGGUUACUGGUACGCAACUGACGCUGAUGCACGAAAGCGUGGGGAGCAAACAGG
rnacentral:rRNA from 1 species